rnacentral:rRNA from 1 species
GGGCCCGCACAAGCGGCGGAGCAUGUGGCUUAAUUCGACGCAACGCGAAGAACCUUACCAAAACUUGACACCAUAUUGAAAGAUGCAGAAAUGUAUCCUCUCUUCGGAGCAAUAUGACAGGUGGUGCAUGGCUGUCGUCAGCUCGUGUCGUGAGAUGUUGGGUUAAGUCCCGCAACGAGCGCAACCCUCAUCCCAUGUUGCUAACAGUUUAAGCUGAGCACUCUUGGGAAACUGCCGGCGUAAAGCUGGAGGAAGGUGGGGAUGACGUCAAGUCAUCAUGCCCUUUAUGUUUUGGGCCGCACACGUGCUACAAUGGCUUGUACAAAGAGCUGCGAUACCGUGAGGUGGAGCUAAUCUCUUAAAGCAAGUCCAAGUCCGGAUUGAAGGCUGAAAUUCGCCUUCAUGAAGUAGGAGUCGCUAGUAAUCGUGGAUCAGCAUGCCACGGUGAAUACGUUCCCGGGCCUU